AAGUGCAAAUUGAUGUCGUUUGUUACUCAAAAUUUUCCUAAACUGUCGUGUUCAGUCAAAUUCCGGCCUUCCCUUCCUCCUCCCUCCAACCCUUUCUUCUGGUCAGGGUCGAUCGAUACUUCCCUCGUAGCUUAUCACUAAUGUGCAACUGGCUGUUUGUCCUAACUCGGCUCUGUCUACAUAAAGGCUUGGACAGGACAGCUCCUGACCCAAAUGUAUCACGUAUGCCCUCACCAUCCUUUCAGCUGCUGGAUCCUCUGCUGGACUUAAAUCUAAGUUUACGCCGACGCCAGGAGCCAAGAGCAGAGACAUGAAUAUGGAGAAACCUCAAAACCAAUGGUCAUCCGUCGGCCCGUCCCAGCUGGUUUUAUCCUCUCCACCUGCUGCAAACCGCCUCCUCCAGAGCUGUGGAGUGUGACAAUGGUGUUUGUUUCCUGCCUAUCAAACGCCAUUAUCACACUAAAUAGCUACAGUGUGAAAAAGCCUCUUCUUCUGCUGGGAUCUCCUUUUGUCACGGCGGAGGGGCGAGCAUGUGUCCGAGCGCAUCAGAGGUGGCGACAGCACGGGACACGUUACACCGCCGCAGGAUGGAAAUAGACAUAAAGUGUGUUGAAAUACGAUGACCCCAUUUUUUUCUUCCCCAUUUGAGGUGCUAAUGUGAUCCAGGAGACUAUUGGAUGCUCAAGAAGUAUCACAAAUGAUGAUAUUUUAACACUAAUAGAUCCCAUUUAAUUCAAUUGUUAAAUCUUUUUCAAAGCGAAAACAUUAAUAAACAUCAUUUAUUUUA